GUUCGGUCCCUAUCCAUCGUGGGCGUAGGAUAUUUGAGAGGGUCUGCACCUAGUACGAGAGGACCGGUGUGGACGUACCGAUGGUGCACCAGUUGUUCCGCCAGGGGCAUGGCUGGGUAGCCAAGUACGGAAAGGAGAAUCGCUGAAAGCAUCUAAGUGAGAAACCAUCCUCAAGAUUAGAUAUCCCAUCUGAAAAGAGUAAGACACCUUUGAGACGAAGAGGUUGAUAGGUCGGAGGUGUAAGUGCGGUAAUGCAUUAAGCUGACCGAUACUAAUAUGUCGAGGGCUUGAUCGA
rnacentral:rRNA from 1 species